rnacentral:rRNA from 1 species
GAUGAACGCUGGCGGCGUGCCUAAUACAUGCAAGUCGAGCGAACAGACGAGGAGCUUGCUCCUCUGACGUUAGCGGCGGACGGGUGAGUAACACGUGGAUAACCUACCUAUAAGACUGGGAUAACUUCGGGAAACCGGAGCUAAUACCGGAUAAUAUAUUGAACCGCAUGGUUCAAUAUUGAAAGACGGUUUUGCUGUCACUUAUAGAUGGAUCCGCGCCGCAUUAGCUAGUUGGUAAGGUAACGGCUUACCAAGGCAACGAUGCGUAGCUGACCUGAGAGGGUGAUCGGCCACACUGGAACUGAGACACGGUCCAGACUCCUACGGGAGGCAGCAGUAGGGAAUCUUCCGCAAUGGGCGAAAGCCUGACGGAGCAACGCCGCGUGAGUGAUGAAGGUCUUCGGAUCGUAAAACUCUGUUAUUAGGGAAGAACAAAUGUGUAAGUAACUAUGCACGUCUUGACGGUACCUAAUCAGAAAGCCACGGCUAACUACGUG